GGAAAAAAAAGAAGAAUUUGAUGUAGUGGGAAUUGUAUUGGAGCUAGUGGAACUCUCCUCUUUGUAAACAGGUGAAGCUGUGACCAUAGGGGGCUUAUUCAGGGAUUAUUAGAGCCGAGGCAGGUUUUUGUGGGGUUUACAACACAGGAAAACAGUGUGCCAUAAAGGUAAACAAAGUCCUUUAAUCAAUCAGCGCAUGUUUGGAAAUAGGGCAGAGUUGAGAAAAUACCAGAUGUGAAAGGAAGCGGUUUGCAGUUUGUGCAGGAGGUCAUAAGUAGAGGAGAAAACUGCCAGUGAGACGGAGCAAACCCCACCUGCUGCACCGGCCCACUCUGAUUGUAUUUGUCUGCCAUCAUUGUGUAUUUCAUCUCACUGACAGCGCUCAGUUUCGCAUGAGUUUGGCUGCCGCCUCAGAAGCCAUGCACCCACAGCGGCCUCUUCCCCAAGCCAUGCCCUCCUCCUCUCUGGGGCAGCAAAUACGGGACAUGGCUAUGGGCAUGGGACGUGGCAAAAAUUUACUUGGGGGAAACUUUGCCUACAGUUUCAUCCAGUCUGUUAAGGAGUGUCUUUAUUUCCUCCUCUGCUGCUGGUGCAUCAAAGAGAUCCUGGACUGACGGACCACAACAGAGUAUAUCAAGUGGUAAAACAUUGAUUUUUCCCUAUUUGUCUAUUAGUUCUCUCAGUGCAGUUUCAGCCAGUGUUAAUUGCAUCAAAACUGGAGCGUUUUAUCAGCACAGCUAGCAAAGCAAUGUGUAAACACGAUGGCUUUUUGAGGUGUGAGGAUCUGCACCUGCACAUUUGAAGAUGUUAGAGCUGUUGAUCGCUGGACUGGGUUAAACUUUUUGGGAUAUGACUGACAACCUGAGACUUCUGGGAAUAUGGCAAUGAUGUUAUACAAUGAUGUUGACUGUACAAGACAAACGAGUGUGGCAAUGAAUAAAUUGAGAAAUGAAGAGAAAAAUA